GACGAACGCUGGCGGCGUGCCUAACACAUGCAAGUCGAGCGAGAGACUUCGGUCUCUAGCGGCGGACGGGUGAGUAACACGUGGGUAACCUGCCUCAUAGAGGGGGAUAGCCUUCCGAAAGGAAGAUUAAUACCGCAUAUACUCUCGAUACCACAUGGUAUUUAGAGGAAAGGAGCAAUCCGCUAUGAGAUGGACCCGCGGCGCAUUAGCUAGUUGGUGAGGUAACGGCGCACCAAGGCGACGAUGCGUAGCCGACCUGCGAGGGUGAUCGGCCACAUUGGAACUGAGACACGGUCCAGACUCCUACGGGAGGCAGCAGUGGGGAAUAUUGCACAAUGGGCGAAAGCCUGAUGCAGCAACGCCGCGUGAGUGAUGACGGCCUUCGGGUUGUAAAGCUCUGUCUUUUGGGACGAUAAUGACGGUACCAAAGGAGGAAGCCACGGCUAACUACGUGCCAGCCGCCGCCGUAACAC
rnacentral:rRNA from 1 species